GCAGCGGUUGUUCAAUGGCAGAAUUGUCACCUUCCACGUGAGAGACUGGGGCUCAAUUCCCAGCCAUUGCA
rnacentral:tRNA from 1 species